GAACCAAUUUCUGCUAAAGCAUUAAGCGAGGAGUUAAAACACAAAACAUCACCCUAGAGAAAAUAGAGGGCAGCUUUCGAUCUCUCUCAGCGGACUCUCCUAUGGGUAAGCCUCUGAGUUCAACUCUCCGACGGUGAAAUCCCAACAUUGACAUAAAGUUUGAAACUCGGUAGAUAAGGAUCUGGCCGUUUUUCUGGAGUGGCGAGAGCUCUAUCGUAGAUAGGGUUAGCAGUUUGCCUUGUGAUCUUCUUGAGAAGAUAUUAGGAUGCUUGCUUUUGAAUUAUCCGAAAAUGGAGGUAUAAGUGGGUAAUACUUUCCGAACUAGUGUUUGAUGAGAACGUUGGCAAAGGACGACUCCUGAAAACUAGAAUGGAAUUUUUGAAGCAUGUAUUGUCAUUGCAACUGCAUUUGAGAAAAUUGGUGUUGUAACGAUAGCUGGGAAUGAAAAUGAUGGACGAGAUGAAGCAAUUCCCUCGAGCAUCACCCAAUGUAGAGUUUAUAUACCAAGAAGUUGAUAUUCAUUUUUGAAAUUUCUAGAUCGGGUGAAAAGUCUAAUGUAGUACCAUCAAGUGGUUUGAAACAGGGAUACGAAGUGGUGAAUUUCCCUGUUUAUCUACCUGUUAACCUUUAGAAUUGUGUGGAUUAGACAUAUUUCUUGAGGAUUACAACUAGUAGGCUUCGCAAACCCUUUGAAAUCAGGUGGAGGGAGGAAGCACUACAACAAAAAUAACUUUUAGCGGCAUUAAUUACUGACAUUAAUAAAGAGGGAUGAAGUCUUUACCGACAUUAGUUAAGUGCCAUUAGAACCAAUGUCGCUAAAGGCUUUAGGAACAUAUACAAAGAGUGUCAAUUGCCACUAAAAAUACAUAUUUAGCGGCAGUUGAGAAUUAAUUGCCGCUAAUGUCAUUUUUGUUGUAGUGAAGAAGCACACAUCAAGUUCCAGAUGUCUUAGUUGCUUGAAUGUAAAAAGGUAAGAAGGUAAAUAAUAUUUGUUGUCUGAGAAUAUAUGAAGGUGAAUUCCUAGACAUUUUUUUUUUAAAAAUUAUCAAAAAGACGCGUCAAAUUAGGACACCGGACCGUACACUUUAGUAUUGGUCCUUGAUGUAGUCGUAGGACUUGGUAAAUGAUUGUCUUGGUUUCUUGAUUGUCGUUGAAAGAUCUGAAAAAUUAACUGCGAAAAUCAAGUUUUGCACGUAUUACUCAUUUGUACCUCUAGUCUUUUGAUAAGAUAUUGGUCUUCACUGUAUCUUUCAAAAGACAAGCUCCCUAGAAUUUUAUCUAGGACAUUACACACGAGAAAUUGCUCAUUAUAGCACUCUUCAUGGUUUAAUAUACAAGUUUGUAAACAACUCUAAUAAUUCAAAUCUAAAAUAAAUAAAAUAUCCAAAUUCUCAUAAUUACACAUUUCAACAAUAUAGACAUAGUCUUUUAUAACUACUGGUUAACAUGUUCGAUUGCAUAGAAGUUUAUCAUUUUACCAAUAUAGAAGGGAAAAAAUAAUUAAUGAUGAAUGAGAUAAUACCUGAAAAAUGUUGGUUAGAGACAAUAAUGGUGAAAACAUGAUUUUAAUCUAGGAGAUUCAAUAAUGUGUGUGUAUAUAUAUAUAAAAGGAUAUUCCAUUUCAAGACAUAGUUUUUUUUGGCGAGGGGGACUAUGAAGUAGGAAACUAUUUCUAUUUCUAGAAAAAAGAUCUUGUAAAUAUCGAUUCUUUGCAAUUGGCAAAACCUUCAUUGGAUCAAUUAGCUCUUGCUCAUUUUAGGAACGUCAGCUAUUUCCAUUUUUGAAAAAGAUUUAUAGAAAUCUAUACUUAAAAUAUGAGGUAUCUACUCUUGCAAUUAUUUUCACCCAAAUCCAUCCUGAUUACUAUCUGUAUAAGAUCGUAAGAAAUCAUAAAUAGACCCCAAAAUUAAUUAGGAGUUCCGCCCCUACGACUUUUGUCUAGUGUAAAGUGUGUGCAUGGAUUAGACAUAUAUCUCGAGUUUAAGUUUGCAACCAAUGAAACCUACUAUUUAAGUCGAGAAGAAUAUAUGGCCAGAUUAUAUUCUUCUCAGCUUAAAUAGUAGGUUUCAUCCGUUGCAAACAAAGAUGUAUGCCUAAUCCACGCAACACACUUACGACUAGACAAAAAUCCCAGGGGCGGAACUUCCAAGAAUUUUGGAGCCUAUUUAUGCACACUUCAAUCUUUUUAUAAUCUUAUAGUAAUCUGUGGCUUUUGGUAAAAAAAAAUUCUCGAGUAGAUUUCUCAUAUGUUAAGUAUAGAUUUCUAUAAAAUCUUUUUCUAGAAAUUGAAAUAGUUGUCUGACGUUGCAAAAGAUAGAAAAUGAGGUAAUUGCUUUAGUGUAGGUUUUUUCAAUUGCAAGAAUAGAUUUCUACAUGAUCUUUUUCUUGAAAUGGAAAUAACUUCUUGGCCCCCCUCGCCAAAAAAAUUUGAUGCGUAUAUAGGUGAAAUAUCCUUAUAUAGGUGUAUAUACAUAUACAUUAUUGAAUCUACUAGAUUGAAUUCAUAAAGUCACCAUUGUUGUCUCCAAUCAACAUUUUCCUCAUACUCUCUCAUUUGUCAUUAUUUUUCCCUCCGAUAUUUGCGAAAUGAUAAACCUCCAUGCAAUUGAAAAAGUUGAACUAGCUAGUAGUUAUAUAAGACUAUGUAUACAUUGUUGAUGUGUAUUUAUGAGAAUUUGAAUGUUUCUUUUAAUCCAGAUCUGAGUUAUUAGACUACAAACUUGUGUAUAAACACGAAAAGUGCUACAAUUUGCAUAGUAAUGUCCUGGAUAAAAUUUUAAGAAGCUUGCCUUUGAAAGAUGCAGCGAAGAGCAGUAUCUUAUCAAAAGACUGGAGGAACAAAUGGGUAACACGUGCACAACUUGAUUUUCUUAGUGAGCUUUUCACUUCUUUCAACAACAAUCAAGUAGUGAAGACAGUUAUUUACGAAUCCAUCAAGGACCCAUACUAAAGUUUACCGCUCCAAGACUAUUCUUAUAUCCCCCUAAUUUGACGUGUUAUCUUGAUGUUUAUUACUGGAUGUUUAUGUCCAUCACUUCACUCUUCAAAUAUUCUCAGGCAACAAAUAUCAUUUACCUUCUUAUUUUUUUUACAUUCCACCAACUAAGAUAUCUAGAACUUGAUAUGUGCUUCUUCCGCCCUCCACCUAAUUUCAAAGAGUUAACAAACCCUGUUAGUCUAAAUCUUCAAAGUGUCAUUUUUUAUCCAACAAUAUUUAGGUUCUCACAUCCAAAUGGCCAUUGAUUGAAAGUUUCAGGUUGACUAGGUGCACCGAAUUGAUAUUCUUGAAAUUGAUGCUGCCAAUCUCAAAUGCUUCGGCUUUUUUGGAACAUCAAAGUCCAUUUGCUUAAAGAAUGCCCCGAUACUUAGAAGUGUCAUUGUGUGGCUCAACUCAGGUCAUGAGUUUUGGUGGAUCCGUCACCUUUUUGUUCUAAUCUUACAAAGUUAUUCCAUUUACAUGCCAUCCCCGGAGGAGUUGGAACUAGGCGGUUCAUCAAUAGAGAAAUAUAAUGUUGACGAGGUUUCAAGUACAGGUUACUGGUAACAUGCUGCAAUAAAUUACAAGAAGUUACAAUUGAAUGUGGAGUAGUAGACAUUGUUGUGGAACCUGUUAUACAAUUAUUACAAGCUAAAUCAUUCUCGUCUGGUGCUGUGAAGCUGCUUCAAAAUGUGGAGAUGCAUUAUUUUAUUGGUUUUGAGAUGGAAAUUGAAUUUGUGAAGUCUAUAUUGGCAGCUGCACCUGUACUGAAGGAGAUCUUUGAUGGAUGAGAUGAAACUAUUCCAUCGAGAAUCACCCUACGUUAGAUUCAAAUUUGAAGAAAUAUGUACAGGUCUGGAACUUGAUUUGUACUUAUUCAGAUAAACUUGAUUUAUUCAAUGCAAUUUCCUUUUGAGAUCCCAAUAUAACCUAUGCUUAGUUAAAACGCAUAUCUACCUAUAGCAAUUGAUGUAGAUUUGUCUUAAAUAUCCUCUUUCCCUUCAACAUCAAUCAAUGAAGUUAAUUUCUAUAUGAUCAUCAAGUAAUUGCAUUAAUCUGUCAAUGCCACUUUUUCAAAUAAGAAAGUCCUCCAACUAUUUCUUUAGCUUUUGUAAACUAUACUAGUGUAGUGAUCGGUAAAUAUCAUAAACAAAUGGCAUUUAUACUCUGUUCGGUUUUUUAACUCAUGGCGUACUAGACUUAUCUACAAUUUAUAAAAGUACGACUUUUAUGAAGCUGCUUCAAAAGGCGUGUAGGUUCCUGGUUUAUGGUGGUUUUGAGAUGCAAAUAUAAUUUCUUAAGGUUGUAUAUGUUGUCACCUGCUACUUGAUAAAAUGUGUAUUUUGAACCAUACAUUUCCCGUUGGUCUCGGUUAUGCAGAUGAUUGAUGAGAUGAAACAAUUUAUUUAUUUACGCGUGCAUCACAGAAUGUUAAAGUUCAAGUCGGAAGAACUUGGUAUAAACAUAGUGAUGGCUGUGGAAUCUUUGUAAAGGUGCUCGUCUCAAGUAGAGUAGUACUUCUUAUAAAUUUUGUAAAAUGGAGUAUUUUACUUGUUUAUAUAGUAAUGAUAUAGUCCAUGAAGCUCUUUUCGACAUUCAGGUACAAUGAAUUUCUGUUAUGCUUAUGGGAUAUGAAAUGUGAGGUACUUGCAUAGAAAAUAAUUAUAACCCUAAGCAACAAUCCAGCGCACAACGUCUGAAAAGCCGUUGUUGCUUGCUGUUUUGGAAACUCGAAAAUCUCUUUUUGGCCUCUCCUCUCUGUCUCAAUUCUGAUAGAUUAGCUUCUUCCUUUGUGCAAGGUACAAUUUGUGAGCAACACACUUUUCUAUCGAAGGCUGGGUGAAAAGUCAAAUGACUAUCAAGCGGUUUGAAACAGAGGAAAUAUAUUACAAAGUGGUGAAUUUUCCCUGGUUAUCUACCUGUUAACCUUUAGAAUGUUAUAUUCCUUCGUGAAAAAAAGCUAAUCUCAUGAUUCUAUAUUUACUACUAUAAUUUGUCUAGUGGUAAGUGUGUCGCCCCUGUUGUGUGGAUUAGACAUACAUCUUGAAAAUUAUGACUACUAGGCUUCGCAAACCCUUUGAAAUCAGGUGGAGGGUGGAAGAAGCACAUAUCAAGUUCCAGAUGUCUUAGUUGCUACAAUGUAAAAAGAUAAGAAGGUAAAUGAUAUUUAUUGUCUUAGAAUAUUUGAAGGGUGAAUUUCUAGACAUUUUUUUGACAAGAAGAGCAUUUAGUAAUAAAUAUCAGGAAGACAUGUCGAAUUAGGACAUUGGACUGUAAACUUUUGUAUUGGUCCUUGAUUUAGUCGUAGUACUUUGAAAAUGAUUGCCUUGGCUUCUUGAUUGUCGUUGAAAGAUGUGAAAACUAACUACGAAAAUCAAGUUCUGCAUGUGUUACCCGUUUGUACCUCUAGUCUUUUGACAAGAUGCUGGUCUUCAAUGUAUCUUUCAAAAGACAAGCUCCCUAGAAUUUUAUCCCGGACAUUACACGACAAAUUGCUAAUUGUAGCUCUUUUCAUUGUUUAAUACACAAGUUUGUACGCAACUCUAGUAAUUCAAAAUCUGAUAUAAAGACAAUAUCCAAAUUCUCAUAAGAGUGCUAUAAUUUGCAUAAAAAUGUCCUGGAUAAAAUUUCAAGGAGCUUGCCUUUGAAAGAUGCAGUAAAGACCAGUAUCUUGUCAAAUGAAUGGAGAAACAAAUGGGUAACAUGUGCACAACUUGAUUUUUUUAGUGAGUUUUUCACUUCAUUCAACAACAAUCAAGUAGUCAAGACACUCAUUUACCAAGAAUUCAUCAAGGACCAAUAUGAAAGUUUACCGCUCCAAGAUUAUCCUAAUAUCCCCCUAUUUGACGUGUUAUCUUGAUAUUUAUUACUGGAUGUUUUUCUUGUCAAAGAAAAAUGUCUAGGACUUUGUCUUCAAAUAUUCUCAGGCAACAAAUAUCAUUUACCUUCUUAUAUUUUUACAUUCCACCAACUAAGACAUCUAGAACUUGAUAUAUACUUCUUCCACCCUCCACUUGAUUUUAAAGGGUUAGCAAAGCCUAUUAGUCUUAAUCUUCGAAGUGUCAUUUUUGAUCCAACAAUAUUUAGGUUCUCACAUCCAAAUGCCCAUUGCUUGAAAGUUUGAGGUUGACUAGGGGCACCGAAUUUGAUAUUCUUGAAAUUGAUGCCGCCAAUCUCAAAUGUCUGACUUUCUUGGAACAUCAAAGUCCAUUUGCUUCAAGAAUGCCCCGAUACUUAGAAGCGUCAUUGUGUGGCUCAACUCAAGUCACGAGUUUUGGAGGAUCCGUCACCUUUUUGUUCCAAUCUUACAAAGUUAUUCCAUUUACAUGCCAUCCCUGGAGGAGUGGAACUAGGCGGUUCAUCAAUAGAGUACUUGGCCAUGGGAGGUAUACCAGAGAUUCUGCCAACUGCUCUAUGCAAUGUCAAAUUUCUCUGUAUUUUGGAUGUCUUUCAGAAAUAUAAUGUUGACGAGGUUUCAAGUACAGGUUACGUGAUUACAAGCUGCGCUAAAUUACAAGAAGUUACAAUUGAAUGUGGAGUAGUAGGCAUUGCUGUGGAACCUGUUAUAUAUACAAUUAUUACGAGCUUAAUCAAUCUCGUGUGGUGCUGUAAAGCUGCUUCAAAGUGUGGAGAUGCGUUAUAUUAUUGGUUUUGAGAUGGAAAUGGAAUUUGUGAAGUUUAUAUUGGCAUGUGCACCUGUACUGAAGGAGAUCUUUGAUGGAUGAGAUGAAACAAUUCCAUUGAGAAUCACGUUAGUUUCAAAUUUGAAGAAAUAUGUACAGGUCUGGAACUUGAUUUGUGAUUAUUCAUAGAUGAACUUGAUUUGUUCGAUUCAAUUUCCUUUUGAGAUCCCGAUAUGACCUUGCUCAAUUUCAACACAUUCUUAUAGAGUUUAUAUAGUAAUGAUAGUCCUUGAAGCUCUUUUCGACAUUCAAGUACAA